GAUGAACGCUAGCUACAGGCUUAACACAUGCAAGUCGAGGGGAAACGAUAUUGGAAGCUUGCUUCCGAUAGGCGUCGACCGGCGCACGGGUGAGUAACGCGUAUCCAACCUGCCCAUCACUUGGGAAUAACCUUGCGAAAGUAAGACUAAUGCCCAAUGACAUUUAUAGAAGGCAUCUGAAAUGAAUUAAAGAUUUAUCGGUGAUGGAUGGGGAUGCGUCUGAUUAGCUUGUUGGCGGGGUAACGGCCCACCAAGGCGACGAUCAGUAGGGGUUCUGAGAGGAAGGUCCCCCACAUUGGAACUGAGACACGGUCCAAACUCCUACGGGAGGCAGCAGUGAGGAAUAUUGGUCAAUGGACGUAAGUCUGAACCAGCCAAGUAGCGUGCAGGAUGACGGCCCUAUGGGUUGUAAACUGCUUUUAUGCGGGGAUAAAGUUGGGGACGUGUCCCUUUUUGCAGGUACCGCAUGAAUAAGGACCGGCUAAUUCCGUGCCAGCAGCCGC
rnacentral:rRNA from 1 species